UGGGGUAUCUUGGACAAUGGGCGCAAGCCUGAUCCAGCCACGCCGCGUGAGUGAUGAAGGCCCUAGGGUUGUAAAGCCCUUUCACCGGUGAAGAUAAUGAUGGUAACAGGAGAAGAAGCCCCGGCUAACUUCGUGCCAGCAGCCGCGGUAAUACGAAGGGGGCUAGCGUUGUUCGGAUUUACUGGGCGUAAAGCGCACGUAGGCGGACUAUUAAGUCAGGGGUGAAAUCCCGGGGCUCAACCCCGGAACUGCCUUUGAUACUGGUAGUCUUGAGUUCGAGGGAGGUGAGUGGAAUUCCGAGUGUAGAGUUGAAAUUCGUAGAUAUUCGGAGGAACACCAGUGGCGAAGGCGGCUCACUGGAUCGAUACUGACGCUGAGGUGCGAAAGCGUGGGGAGCAAACAGG
rnacentral:rRNA from 1 species